GAUGAACGCUGGCGGCGUGCCUAAUACAUGCAAGUCGAACGCAUUGUGGUUGAAAUGAUAUGAAGAACUUGUUCAGAUUUGAUUUUCAACAUUGCAAUGAGUGGCGAACGGGUGAGUAACACGUGGGAAACCUACCUCUUAGCAGGGGAUAACAUUUGGAAACAAAUGCUAAUACCGUAUAAUAAUUAAAACCGCAUGGUUUUAGUUUAAAAGAUGGUCUUGCUAUCACUAAGAGAUGGUCCCGCGGUGUAUUAGUUAGUUGGUGAGGUAAUGGCUCACCAAGACAAUGAUACAUAGCCGAGUUGAGAGACUGACCGGCCACAAUGGGACUGAGACACGGCCCAUACUCCUACGGGAGGCAGCAGUAGGGAAUCUUCCACAAUGGACGAAAGUACUGAUGGAGCAACGCCGCGUGUGUGAUGAAGGGUUUCGGCUCGUAAACACUGUUGUAAGAGAAGAAUGACAUUGAGAGUAACUGUUCAAU
rnacentral:rRNA from 1 species